GACGAACGCUGGCGGCGUGCCUAAUACAUGCAAGUUGAGCGCUGAAGGUUGGUCCUUGUACCAACUGGAUGAGCAGCGAACGGGUGAGUAACGCGUGGGGAAUCUGCCUUUGAGCGGGGGACAACAUUUGGAAACGAAUGCUAAUACCGCAUAAAAACUUUAAACACAAGUUUUAAGUUUGAAAGAUGCAAUUGCAUCACUCAAAGAUGAUCCCGCGUUGUAUUAGCUAGUUGGUGAGGUAAAGGCUCACCAAGGCGAUGAUACAUAGCCGACCUGAGAGGGUGAUCGGCCACAUUGGGACUGAGACACGGCCCAAACGCCUACGGGAGGCAGCAGUAGGGAAUCUUCGGCAAUGGACGAAAGUCUGACCGAGCAACGCCGCGUGAGUGAAGAAGGUUUUCGGAUCGUAAAACUCUGUUGGUAGAGAAGAACGUUGGUGAGAGUGGAAAGCUCAUCAAGUGACGGUAACUACACAGAAAGGGACGGCUAACUACGUG
rnacentral:rRNA from 1 species